rnacentral:tRNA from 1 species
GGGUUCGGGGGUCGGAUGCCGGCAUCUGGCUUCUUCCUCCUGCGGUGUGCAAUCGCCCUUGACAGCACGGGAGGGUGGUGGAGAGGCCCCGGGUUCAAAUCCCGGCGAGUCCA